UAGCAGUGACCUGGGGGGCAUGUUGUUA
rnacentral:piRNA from 1 species